rnacentral:snoRNA from 1 species
AAGGCUGUUUCCAGUGAUCAUUUCUAUAGUUCAUUACUUGAGAAGCUUCUCUGACUGUAGAACCCUGGAAACCAUGAGGAGGAGGCCUAGCAUGCUCUCCUGAGCAUGAAACGUCUCUUGGUGUUGCUUUGCUGCAACUGCCACUUACCAUUGAUGGUUGUUCCUGCUGUCCAUUGGGGAGCUGGAGGGAGAGGACACAAUCUGAGUGGA